rnacentral:rRNA from 1 species
UACGUAGGUGGCAAGCGUUGUCCGGAAUUAUUGGGCGUAAAGCGCGCGCAGGCGGUUCUUUAAGUCUGAUGUGAAAGCCCACGGCUCAACCGUGGAGGGUCAUUGGAAACUGGAGAACUUGAGUACAGAAGAGGAAAGCGGAAUUCCACGGUGUAGCGGUGAAAUGCGUAGAGAUGUGGAGGAACACCAGUGGCGAAGGCGGCUUCUGGUCUGUAACUGACGCUGAGGCGCGAAAGCGUGGGGAGCAAACAGGA